rnacentral:rRNA from 1 species
UACGUAGGGGGCAAGCGUUAUCCGGAUUUACUGGGUGUAAAGGGAACGUAGACGGCCAGACAAGUCUGAAGUGAAAAUCCAGCGCUUAACGUUGGAAGUGCUUUGGAAACUGCCGGGCUAGAGUGCAGGAGGGGCAGGCGGAAUUCCUAGUGUAGCGGUGAAGUGCGUAGAUAUUAGGAGGAACACCAGUGGCGAAGGCGGCCUGCUGGACUGCAACUGACGUUGAGGCUCGAAGGCGUGGGGAGCAAACAGG